rnacentral:rRNA from 1 species
CCUACGGGAGGCAGCAGUAAGGAAUAUUGGUCAAUGGACGGAAGUCUGAACCAGCCAUGCCGCGUGCAGGAUGACGGCCCUCUGGGUUGUAAACUGCUUUUAUAGGGGACGAAAAAAGGGGAUUCUUCCUCACUUGACGGUACCCUAGGAAUAAGCACCGGCUAACUCCGUGCCAGCAGCCGCGGUAAUACGGAGGGUGCAAGCGUUAUCCGGAUUUACUGGGUUUAAAGGGUGCGUAGGUGGGUCGGUAAGUCAGCGGUGAAAUCUUCGAGCUUAACUCGGAAACUGCCAUUGAUACUAUCGAUCUUGAAUCGUCUAGAGGUAAGCGGAAUAUGUCAUGUAGCGGUGAAAUGCUUAGAUAUGACAUAGAACACCAAUUGCGAAGGCAGCUUACUAUGGAUGUAUUGACACUGAGGCACGAAAGCGUGGGGAUCAAACAGGAUUAGAUACCCUGGUAGUCCACGCCUAAACCGAUGGAUACUCGACAUUUGAGAUAUACCUUUAAAGUGUUCUGAGNGAAGACAUAAGUAUCCACCGUAGGAGGUACGAGUCGCGAGAGUUAGUAACGUACGAAGUAAGUAGUAGGACGNGAGAGACGACGACGACGACGACGACGGGAGGGAGGAG